CCAUAUUGUUUAGCCUCCAUGUGUUUGUAUUUUUCACAGUUUUUUUUCCUGUAAUUGAUUUCUAAUCUCAUAGUGUUGUGGUCAGAAAAGAUGCUUGAUAUGAUUUCAAUUUUCUUUAAUUUCCCAAGGUUUGAUUUGUUGACCCAAGAUGCGAUCUAUCCUGGAGAAUGUUGUGUGUUCACUUGAUAAGAAAGUGUAUUCUGCCACUUUGGGGUGGAAUUUCCUAUAAGUAUCAGUUAAGUCUAUCUGCUCUAUGUGUCAUUUAAUCCUUGUGUUUCCUUGUUUAUUUUCUGUCUGGAUGACCUGUCCAUUGGUGUAAGUGGGGUUUUAAAGUCCCCCAGUAUUAUUGUGUUACUGUCGAUUUCCCAUUUUAUGGUUGUUAGCAUUUGCCUUAUGUAUUGAGGUGCUCCUAUGUUGGGUGCAUAAAUAUUUACAGUUCUUCUUGGAUUGAUCCAUUGGUUAUUAUGUAGGGUCCUUCCUUGUCUCUUGUAACAGUCUUUAUUUUAAGGUCCAGUUUAUCUGAUAUGAGUAUUGCUACUCCAGCUUUCUUUUGAUUUGCAUUUAUACGGAAUAUCUUUUUCCAUCCCCUCACUUUAAGUCUGUAUGUGUCCCUAGGUCUGAAGUGGGUCUCUUGUUGACAGCAAAUAUAUGGGUCUUGUUUUUUUAUCCAUUCAGCCAGUCUGUGUCUUCUGGUUGGAGCACUUAAUCCAUUUACAUUUAAGGUAAUUAUCGAUAUGUAUGCUCCUAUUACCAUUUUCUUUAUUGCUUAGGGUUUGUUUUUGUAGACAUUUUCUUUCUCUUGUGUUUCCCACCUAGGGAAAUUCCUUUGGUAUUUAUUCAUUUCAAUUAUUGUGUUUUCCAUCACUGUUUGUUUGUUCUUUAGUUCUUCUAGGUCCUUGUUAGAUAUUUCUUGUAUUUUCUUGAUCCAUGCUUCCACUCUAUUUCUGAGAUUUUGGAUCAUCUUUUUAUAAUUACUCUGAAUUCUUCUUCAGGUAGGUUGCCUAUUUCCUCUUCAUUUAUUUGGUCUUAUGGUUUUUUACCUUGCUCCUUUGUCUGUAACAUAUUUUUUUGUCAUCUCAUUUGUUUUAUUUGAUGGGUGGGCCUGUGUUCCUUUCUUGCUUGUUGUUUGGCCUGAGGUGUCCAGCACUGGAGUUUGCAGGCAGUUGGGUGGAGCUGGGUCUUGGUGCUGAGAUGAGGACCUCCAGGAGAGCUCACACCAAUUAAUAUUCACUGGGGUGUGAGGUUCUCUGUUAGUCCAGCUUGGGCUUGGCACUCCCACCACAGGUACUCAGGUCCAACCCCUGGCCUGUGAACCAAGACCAUGCAAGCCACAUUAAAAAAAAAAAAAAAAAAAAAAGCAGAACAAUAACAAAAAAUAAAGUUAGGAAGAUAAAAAAUAUAUUAAAAAAAUUAACAAUAAAAAUGAAACAACAACAAAGCAAAAGAGAACCACAACAGAAAAAAAAAUAAGAAUAAAAAAUAAGAAUAAAAAUAAAAGAUAAAAAAAUAAAUUAAAAAAUUUAAAUUAAAAGGUAAAAAUUUCCCUGGUUCCUCCUCUAUCAGUGUCCUUGCCCCCACGGUGAGCUACAGCCUAUCCUUUCUUCCCCAGUAGGCCUCCAAGACCUCUAGAUAGGUCUCUGGACCCACUGUGUCAGCCUCAUCUCUGCAUGUUUUCUUCUCACCAGCAUCUGUUCCUGAAACUGGCCUGGAGCACACAUGUCCAAGCAGCCCUCUGAGGACUUUAUUUCAACACAGGAGAAAUAUACACCAGGUUAAAGAAUCAUAAUAAGGAAGAGAUGAUCUCAAGGAACCAGCAUGGAAAACAAUUCAUCUCAAACUACAUUUUCUUUACUCUUUAACAUGGUUCGAGCCCUGGCUCGGGAAGAUCCCACAUGCCGCGGAGCAACUAAGCCCGUGCGCCACAACUACUGAGCCUGCGCUCAAAAGCCCACGCACCACAACUACUGAGCCCACGCACCACAACUACUGAAGCCUGCGUGCCUAGAGCCCGUGCUCCGCAACAAGAAGCCACCGCAAUGAGAAGCCCACGUACUGCAACGAAGAACAGCCCCCACUCACCACAACUAGAGAAAGCCCGCGAGCAGCAACAAAGACCCAACACAGCCAAAAAUAAAAAUAAAUAAAUAAAUAAA